rnacentral:rRNA from 1 species
AGUGAACGCUGGCGGUAGGCCUAACACAUGCAAGUCGAACGGCAGCACCGUAAGAGCUUGCUCUUACGGGUGGCGAGUGGCGGACGGGUGAGGAAUACAUCGGAAUCUACUUUUUCGUGGGGGAUAACGUAGGGAAACUUACGCUAAUACCGCCUACGACCUACGGGUGAAAGCAGGGGAUCUUCGGACCUUGCGCGAUUGAAUGAGCCGAUGUCGGAUUAGCUAGUUGGCGGGGUAAAGGCCCACCAAGGCGACGAUCCGUAGCUGGUCUGAGAGGAUGAUAGGCCACACUGGAACGUGGACACGGUCAAUACUCCUGCGGGAGGCAGCAGUGGGGAAUAUUGGACAAUGGGCGCAAGCCUGAUCCAGCCAUACCGAGUGGGUGAAGGAGGCCUUCGGGUGGUAAAGCCCGUUUGUUGGGAAAGAAAAGCAGCAGGUUAAUACCCCGCUGUUCUGACGGUACCCAAAGAAUAAGCACCGGCUAACUUCGUG